rnacentral:sRNA from 13 species
AAUACCAAAGUAAUAUCAUAAAUAAACAUGGGGUACAUAAGCACACAUCUUUAUAAAAAAUUAAUCUGACGUGCAAUGUGUAGGGUAUCAAAUGGUCCCCACAACCCAGAACCUUUUCGAAUCGACAAUUUGCUUGAUAAAAACAUAAUCGAUUGCGGGCCAACCAACACUUGCCCAUUAAAACCCUGCAUUGUGUGCGAAGGAAGUGAAGAGGAAAUUGCAGUGCCAGGUGACAAGGGGAAUCACCUGGAGCAGAGGUCAGAGAGGGACGGCACGAACGGGUGAGCGAGACGAGAGGGCCAGACGAGUGAAAUUCUUUAAUUAAAAUGGCAUUUCCUAUAAACAAUUGUGACACAACGAGAAGUUCUCCGCCACUCCACUUGCACAGCAUCGCAAACUCAUUAGUUCCCAGUAUUAAAUUCUUUCGUUUAUAAAUUGCUGCCAGUUGUUUCUGGCUAAAAUGCCAGUGGUAGUAGUAGUCGAGUUCUCAAGUCAUCAGAUUUACCGACAACAGACAGAUCGGUUUGUUUAACAAUCUCUGAAUUUAUACAUAUCUGGAAAACUUGUGGACAGAAUUAUAGCGCCUCCCGCGAAAAGCACAAGGAAAUGCGAAUAGCGGGGGGUGGUGGGGCGGUCGAAAAUGGAAAACAUAUAAAAUUAACAUACACACAGAGGAGCAAGAACAACAACAAGAACGAUGCCGGCAGACGAUGAGCGAAUGCGACAGAACGAAUGGCGAAGAAAACGAAACGAAACGAAGACGAAGGCGAAAGGCGGCCGCAAACAUUUGAGGUUACGUUUUCAGCGAGAAGAAUGCGAGUGGUCCUUUCGUGCCCCCCCCCAAAAAGCCCCCUAAAAAGGAGAGACAAGUGCAGCAUGCGAAAAGGGAUAGAGAGAGAACGCGAAUGCUGGGCCCCUGGAAGCACGCACACACCCACACGCACAUAUUUAGGGGAGGGGGUGGGGGCUAUAUAAAAACAAACAUAAAGAUAAACCAUAAAAGAGAUGGCGGACAAAACAAAGGAGGAUGAUGAAGAAGAAA